GAUGAACGCUGGCGGCGUGCCUAAUACAUGCAAGUCGAGCGAACAGAUGAGGAGCUUUCUCCUCUGACGUUAGCGGCGGGCGGGUGAGUAACACGUGGAUAACCUACCUAUAAGACUGGGAUAACUUCGGGAAACCGGAGCUAAUACCGGAUAAUAUAUUGAACCGCAUGGUUCAAUAGUGAAAGACGGUUUUGCUGUCACUUAUAGAUGGAUCCGCGCCGCAUUAGCUAGUUGGUAAGGUAACGGCUUACCAAGGCGACGAUGCGUAGCCGACCUGAGAGGGUGAUCGGCCACACUGGAACUGAGACACGGUCCAGACUCCUACGGGAGGCAGCAGUAGGGAAUCUUGCGCAAUGGGCGAAAGCCUGAUGGAGCCAUGCCGCGUGAGUGAUGAAGGUCUUCGGGUCGUAAAGCUCUGUUAUUAGGGAAGAACAACUGUGUAAGUAAACAUGGACGUCUUGACGGUACCUAAUGAGAAAGCAACGGCUAACUUCGUG
rnacentral:rRNA from 1 species